rnacentral:rRNA from 1 species
GACGAACGCUGGCGGCGUGCUUAACACAUGCAAGUCGAGCGGUAAGGCCCUUUCGGGGGUACACGAGCGGCGAACGGGUGAGUAACACGUGGGUGACCUGCCCUCAGCUCUGGGAUAAGCCUGGGAAACCGGGUCUAAUACUGGAUAUGACUCCAUGACGCAUGUUGUGGGGUGGAAAGCCUUGUGCGGCUGAGGAUGGGCCCGCGGCCUAUCAGCUUGUUGGUGGGGUGAUGGCCUACCAAGGCGACGACGGGUAGCCGGCCUGAGAGGGCGACCGGCCACACUGGGACUGAGACACGGCCCAGACUCCUACGGGAGGCAGCAGUGGGGAAUAUUGGACAAUGGGGAAACCCUGAUCCAGCGACGCCGCGUGUGUGAAGAAGGCCUGCGGGUUGUAAAGCACUUUGGUGGGAACGAAAUAUGCCGGGCGUAACUACCCCGGUACGGCUGACGUUACUCAAUAGAAGAAGCACCGGCUAACUCUGUGCCAGCCGCCGCCGUAA